rnacentral:rRNA from 1 species
AUGCACGCUGGCGGCGUGCCUCAUACAUGCAAGUCGAGCGAACGGACGAGAAGCUUGCUUCUCUGAUGUUAGCGGCGGACGGGUGAGUAACACGUGGAUAACCUACCUAUAAGUCUGGGAUAACUUCGGGAAACCGGAGCUAAUACCGGAUAAUAUUUUGAACCGCAUGGUUCAAAAGUGAAAGACGGUCUUGCUGUCACUUAUAGAUGGAUCCGCGCUGCAUUAGCUAGUUGGUAAGGUAACGGCUUACCAAGGCAACGAUGCAUAGCCGACCUGAGAGGGUGAUCGGCCACACUGGAACUGAGACACGGUCCAGACUCCUACGGGAGGCAGCAGUAGGGAAUCUUCCGCAAUGGGCGAAAGCCUGACGGAGCAACGCCGCGUGAGUGAUGAAGGUCUUCGGAUCGUAAAACUCUGUUAUUAGGGAAGAACAUAUGUGUAAGUAACUGUGCACAUCUUGACGGUACCUAAUCAGAAAGCCACGGCUAACUACGUG